rnacentral:lncRNA from 1 species
AAUGAACGGAAUUUUCAAAGCUCUUCAAUUUAGAUGUGCAUUUUCAGAAUUAUGCCGUCUGAUGUGCCUAAAUGUUGAGCCCAUUUCUCAGGGCCGGACAUCAACUAAAUCUAGGAGAAAAUAUUUUAUAAAAAAAAAAUAUAUAAAGUUUGAAUCGUGUCAAGCGAAUACCGCCAAUUCCAUUUUUCCAGUCCUAAAAUCAGGAAAGUAACCUCAGAUGUGUUUCGGUACGCAUUCCUGGUGAAUGCUGUCCAACAUGAAAAAAAAAAAAAUUACUGCUGUAGAAAUUUUGUAGCCCAAAGGGAGGGCUGCCACCAAAGACAUUGAAUCACGUAGACCGUGCAUCCUGUGUUACGGAAGGCGAGACAACUUUUAAAAAUUGGCAUGCGAUGAGUGGUGGCACCAACCCGCAUCGAUGAGUUCGUGUGUCCCAGUUGCGCACAUCUGCGCAUGCGCAGUAGCGGCUCCAGUGAAUUUUCGUCGGAUUGUGAGGCUUUUUUCCUCGGUUAAUAAUUAGUUCGGAAAAAUGAAACAAUGCAUUUCGGGUGUAAAAUUAUGUGUUCUAAACUUCUUUUCCUAGGAAUUUUGUCUGAAAAUGGACUCUAAACGAGAUAUUCGUGAAAAACCGAGCGCGGGCAUGAAUUCUCCAUUGCCUCCCUGCAGUGCUUGGGACACACGCUCUCUCCCCUUCCCGCUCGCCCAUCAUGGGGCUCCGAGAGACUUGCCUCGCUCCGCCUGUACUAAACCGAGCGGGACGCAUGGUCUACGUGAUUCAAUGUCUUUGGCUGCCACUUAAAAGUGAAGUAGAUGACUAAUUUUGAACAUUUUAUUUUUUCUCCAGAUAAAAACAACUUCACCGGAGAAGUUCCGCGUCCAUCCCAGUAUCAGUAUUCUCGGCGUGGAGGCAUGGUAGCCAUCACGGUCACCGUUCUGCCUGACUUCACACCCAACCAAAUUAUGAAAGAGAAGUUUCUCAUCAUGUGUCUGCCUGUUGAAAGCAUAGAUUUAGAUAGUAUUGCCCUCUCCGCUCUCUGGAAGGCGGCUAACACAAAAACAGAAAACUAUCGGCUCCGAUGCAGUCGAGUGCGAUGA